CCCUUAGAUGUUCUGGGCAGCACGCGCGCUACAAUGGUCUUCGCAAACGGAUGCAUUCUCGAAGGAGAAUGCCAAUCUUGGAAUCUAUGCCUUGGUCGGGACAGUUGCUUGCAAUUUUUCGACUCGAACCAGGAAUUCCUUGUAAUCGUGAUUCAUCACAUCACGAUGAAUACGUCCCUGCCCUUUGUACACACCGCCCGUCGCUCCUACCGAUCGAAGAGUUAGGUGAAUUGUUUUGAUCGAUAAGAUUUGACUAUGGUCAACUCUCGUUGUGAAAUUCUGUGAAUCUGACUGUUUAGAGGAAGUAAAAGUCGUAACA
rnacentral:rRNA from 1 species